rnacentral:rRNA from 1 species
UGAAUACGAGACGCUAAGGCGUUGAAGUAGUGUAUGUCAUACUUCCAAGAAAAGCUUGCACUGUCAUAGAUAAAAAACGCCUGUACCAUAACCGACACAGGUGGGUAGGUAGAGUAUACUAAGGGGCGCGAGAUAACUCUCUCUAAGGAACUCGGCAAAAUAACUCCGUAACUUCGGGAGAAGGAGUGCCUUAUUUAUAAGGCUGCAAUAACAAGAUCCAAGCAACUGUUUAUCAAAAACACAGGUCUCCGCUAAGUCGUAAGACGAUGUAUGGGGGCUGACGCCUGCCCAGUGCCAGAAGGUUAAAGAAGUUGGUUAGCAAUAGCGAAGCUGAUAACUGAAGCCCUGGUGAACGGCGGCCGUAACUAUAACGGUCCUAAGGUAGCGAAAUUCCUUGUCGGGUAAGUUCCGACCCGCACGAAAGGCGUAAUGAUUUGGAUACUGUCUCGGAGAGGGGCUCGGUGAAAUAGACUUGUCUGUGAAGAUGCGGACUACCUGCACCAGGACAGAAAGACCCUAUGAAGCUUUACUGUAACUUAAAAUUGAAAUUGGACUUUAUUCGCGCAGUAUAGGUGGGAGGCGUUGAUUGUAAUCUUGCGGGAUUAUUGGAGCCAUCAGUGAGAUACCACCCUUGUAAUGUUAGAUUUCUAACUUUGAAUCAUUAUCUGGUCAAAGAACAGUUUCAGGCGGGCAGUUUGACUGGGGCGGUCGCCUCCUAAACGGUAACGGAGGCGUACAAAGGUUUCCUCUGAACGGUUAGAAAUCGUAUCUAGAGUGUAAAGGCAUAAGGAAGCUUGACUGUGAGACCUACAAGUCGAGCAGGGACGAAAGUCGGUCUUAGUGAUCUGACGGUACUGAGUGGAAAGGCCGUCACUCAACGGAUAAAAGUUACUCUAGGAUAACAGGCUGAUCUCCCCCAAGAGUUCACAUCGACGGGGAGGUUUGGCACCUCGAUGUCGGCUCAUCGCAUCCUGGGGCGGUAGUACGUCCCAAGGGUUGGGCUGUUCGCCCAUGAAAGCGGUACGCGAGCUGGGUUCAGAACGUCGUGAGACAGUUCGGUCCAUAUCCGGUGUAGGCGUUAGAAUAUUGAGAGGAGCCUUCUUUAGUACGAGAGGACCGAGAAGGACAUACCUCUGGUGUACCAGUUAUCGUGCCAACGGUAAACGCUGGGUAGCUAUGUAUGGAGUGGAUAACCGCUGAAAGCAUCUAAGUGGGAAGCCCACCUCAAGAUAAG